CUUCCGCCUUCGNCCUUAANUGGCCCAAGGGGGAUUAGCUAGUUCNGNGGUAAUGGCCCACCAAGGCGACCAUCCCUAGCUGGUUGGGAGGAUGAUCAGCCNCACUGGGACUGNACACGGCCCAGACUCCUACGGGAGGCAGCAGUGGGGAAUAUUGCACAAUGGGCGCAAGCCUGAUGCAGCCAUGCCGCGUGUGUGAAGAAGGCCUUCGGGUUGUAAAGCACUUUCAGUCAGGAGGAAAGGUUAGUAGUUAAUACCUGCUAGCUGUGACGUUACUGACAGAAGAAGCACCGGCUAACUCCGUGCCAGCAGCCGCGGUAAUACGGAGGGUGCGAGCGUUAAUCGGAAUUACUGGGCGUAAAGCGUACGCAGGCGGUUUGUUAAGCGAGAUGUGAAAGCCCCGGGCUCAACCUGGGAACUGCAUUUCGAACUGGCAAACUAGAGUGUGAUAGAGGGUGGUAGAAUUUCAGGUGUAGCGGUGAAAUGCGUAGAGAUCUGAAGGAAUACCGAUGGCGAAGGCAGCCACCUGGGUCAACACUGACGCUCAUGUACGAAAGCGUGGGGAGCAAACGGGAUUAGAUACCCCGGUAGUCCACGCCGUAAACGAUGUCUACUAGAAGCUCGGAGCCUCGGUUCUGUUUUUCAAAGCUAACGCAUUAAGUAGACCGCCUGGGGAGUACGGCCGCAAGGUUAAAACUCAAAUGAAUUGACGGGGGCCCGCACAAGCGGUGGAGCAUGUGGUUUAAUUCGAUGCAACGCGAAGAACCUUACCUACACUUGACAUACAGAGAACUUACCAGAGAUGGUUUGGUGCCUUCGGGAACUCUGAUACAGGUGCUGCAUGGCUGUCGUCAGCUCGUGUUGUGAGAUGUUGGGUUAAGUCCCGCAACGAGCGCAACCCCUAUCCUUAGUUGCUAGCAGGUAAUGCUGAGAACUCUAAGGAGACUGCCGGUGAUAAACCGGAGGAAGGUGGGGACGACGUCAAGUCAUCAUGGCCCUUACGUGUAGGGCUACACACGUGCUACAAUGGCGCAUACAGAGUGCUGCGAACCUGCGAAGGUAAGCGAAUCACUUAAAGUGCGUCGUAGUCCGGAUUGGAGUCUGCAACUCGACUCCAUGAAGUCGGAAUCGCUAGUAAUCGCGUAUCAGAAUGACGCGGUGAAUACGUUCCCGGGCCUUGUACACACCGCCCGUCACACCAUGGGAGUGGGUUGCUCCAGAAGUAGAUAGUCUAACCCUCGGGAGGACGUU
rnacentral:rRNA from 1 species